GAUGAAGAACGCAGCGAAAUGCGAUAAGUAAUGUGAAUUGCAGAAUUCAGCGAAUCAUCGAAUCUUUGAACGCACAUUGCGCCCCCUGGUAUUCCGGGGGGCAUGCCUGUCCGAGCGUCAUUACAACCCUCAAGCUCAGCUUGGUAUUGGGCCCCGCCGCUCCGGCGGGCCCUAAAGUCAGUGGCGGUGCCGUCCGGCUCCGAGCGUAGUAAUUCUUCUCGCUCUGGAGGUCCGGUCGUGUGCUCGCCAGCAACCCCCAAUUUUUUUCAGGUUGACCUCGGAUCAGGUAGGGAUACCCGCUGAACUUAAGCAUAUCAAUAAGCGGAGGA
rnacentral:misc_RNA from 1 species